UGGUGGAGUGAUUUGUCUGGUUAAUUCCGUUAACGAACGAGACCUCUGCUUGCUAGUUACCCGCAUCAGUGAUUCUUCACUGUUGUAUUUGUAUAUCAUGGGUUCUAGAAGUACAUGUGCUUUGAUAGGUGCAGGAAGAUAGAGGCAAUAACA
rnacentral:rRNA from 1 species